GAAGUCAUAUGAUGUAAAAUUUCUUAUGCUAAACACUGAAUUCUAAGUGUAGACUAAUUAACUCUGCUUAUUAUCUGAUGCCUUU